rnacentral:rRNA from 1 species
UUCUGGCUCAGGAUGAACGCUAGCUACAGGCUUAACACAUGCAAGUCGAGGGGCAGCAUUGGAGUAGCAAUACUCAGAUGGCGACCGGCGCACGGGUGAGUAACACGUAUCCAACCUGCCGCUUACUCGGGGAUAGCCUUUCGAAAGAAAGAUUAAUACCCGAUGGUAUAAAGAGUUCGCAUGUUCUCUUUAUUAAAGAAUUUCGGUAAGCGAUGGGGAUGCGUUCCAUUAGAUAGUUGGCGGGGUAACGGCCCACCAAGUCUACGAUGGAUAGGGGUUCUGAGAGGAAGGUCCCCCACAUUGGAACUGAGACACGGUCCAAACUCCUACGGGAGGCAGCAGUGAGGAAUAUUGGUCAAUGGACGAGAGUCUGAACCAGCCAAAAGUAGCGUGAAGGAUGACUGCCCUAUGGGUUGUAAACUUCUUUUAUAAGGGAAUAAAGUGGGGGACGUGUCCCUUUUUGUAUGUACCUCAUGAAUAAGGAUCGGCUAACUCCGUGCCAGCCGCCGC